AAUGUACGUUCAUCAAUUCAAUGAUGUGAAAUGUAACUGUUUAAAAUAUAUAUAUAUAUAUAUAUAUAUAUAUAUAUAUAUUUUAAACAGUUACAUUUCACAUCAUUGAAUUGAUGAACGUACAUU
rnacentral:miRNA from 1 species